UUUCAUUUCAAAUGAAUCAUAUGCACAAGGUCUACUGAUGCUGGAACAGUGUCUUUCCACUCAGUCAAGUGAGGUCCCAGAUGCUAAAAACUCGAGGGGAUUGGUUUUUCUGGCUAUGUCUACCUUAUUCUUGGAAAGGGGAUUUUGGCGAGGCAAUCGAAAAACUUCAGAGAAUCCAAGAUUUAAAUAACUCUUCUUUAGGCAUUAAAGGGAUCCUCAUGCAAUGGCGACAAAGAGAGAGAAGAUAUUGUCUUCUCUUUAAGGAUGAGAAGACUUAUGGAGAGCAAUGUCAAUUUGUAUAGUCC